rnacentral:rRNA from 1 species
GGCCUUGACAUACUAAGAACUUUCCAGAGAUGGAUUGGUGCCUUCGGGAACUUAGAUACAGGUGCUGCAUGGCUGUCGUCAGCUCGUGUCGUGAGAUGUUGGGUUAAGUCCGCAACGAGCGCAACCCUUUUCCUAUUUGCCAGCGGGUAAUGCCGGGAACUUUAAGGAUACUGCCAGUGACAAACUGGAGGAAGGCGGGGACGACGUCAAGUCAUCAUGGCCCUUACGGCCAGGGCUACACACGUGCUACAAUGGUCGGUACAAAGGGUUGCUACCUCGCGAGAGGAUGCUAAUCUCAAAAAGCCGAUCGUAGUCCGGAUCGCAGUCUGCAACUCGACUGCGUGAAGUCGGAAUCGCUAGUAAUCGCGGAUCAGAAUGCCGCGGUGAAUACGUUCCCGGGCCUUGUACACACCGCCCGUCACACCAUGGGAGUUUGUUGCACCAGAAGUAGGUAGUCUAACCGCAAGGAGGACGCUUACCACGGUGUGGCCGAUGACUGGGGUGAAGUCGUAACAAGGUAGGCGUAGAUGA